rnacentral:pre_miRNA from 1 species
CUUUGAGGUCCGAGUCGGACCUGCCCUGAUUCUUGCUGCAGUGAUAUUUCGAACGGCUAGAUUAUCACCGGGUGACAAUUAGGACAGGUCCGACCCCUAGUG